rnacentral:lncRNA from 1 species
AUGCGCCGAGGGCGAGGCCACCAGUCCGGCAGCAGAGACAGAGACGAGGCAGGAACCAGAGACGAAGACAGACGUGGGGACGAGGCAGGAACCAGAGGCGAAGACAGACGUGGAGCCGAGCCGCCAGGAACCGAUGCAGGUGCGGCCGGAGCCGGGCCGCCAGGAACCGAUGCAGGUGCGGUCGGAGCCGGGCCGCCAGGAACCGAUGCGGGAGCUGCAACGGGAACGACCCCCUCCUGGAGGUCCGCCGGGACUGCGACGGGCGCGACCCCCUCCUGGAGGUCCGCCGGGACUGCGACGGGCGCGACCCCCUCCUGGAGGUCCGCCGGGACUGCGACGGGCGCGACCCCCUCCUGGAGGUCCGCCGGGACUGCGGCUGGCGCGACCCCCUCCUGGAGGUCCGCCGGGACUGCGGCUGGCGCGACCCCCUCCUGGAGGUCCGCCGGGACUGCCACUCCGAGACUGACUGGAACGGCCGCGAUAUGGCCGACAGGAACAGGGACAGGAACUGGAACGGCCGCGACAUGGCCGACAGGAACAGGGACAGGAACUGGAACGGCCGCGACAUGGCCGACAGGAACAGGGACAGGAACUGGAACGGCCGCGACAUGGCCGACAGGGACUGGGACAGGGACUGGAACGGCCUCGACAUGGCCGACAGGGACUGGGACAGGGACUGGAACGGCCUCGACAUGGCCGACAGGGACUGGGACAGGGACUGGAACGGCCUCGACAUGGCCGACAGGGACUGGAACGGCCUCGACAUGGCCGACAGGGACUGGAACGGCCUCGACAUGGCCGACAGGAACCGGAACAGGGACAGGAACGGCGUCCAUACUAGAGCCGGCGGCGCUGCCCUCGGGCUCCUCACAGGAGCCGGCGGCGCUGCCCUCGGGCUCCUCACAGGAGCCGGCGGCGCUGCCCUCGGGCUCCUCACAGGAGCCGGCGGCGCUGCCCUCGGGCUCCUCACAGGAGCCGGCGGCGCUGCCCUCGGGCUCCUCACAGGAGCCGGCGGCGCUGCCCUCGGGCUCCUCACAGGAGCCGGCAGGGACUGAAACGGCGUCUCCUCUGGAGCUGGCAUGGCUACUUGCCGCUGCCGAGCUCGACGGAGCAGACGUCGGGCCUGAUCGGGUGUGCAUAGCACUUGUUCUACAGGUGAUGACCUCUGGCUGGGACAAGACCUGCGCGGGACUGGGCUGGACCGGGACAGGACUCGACUGUACUGGGACAGGACUCGACUGA